CAGUUUUCCUCUGCCCUAGAAACAGUCAAAAGAGAGGAAUUGGCAAAGCCAGCCAAGGAGGACCUGUGGCUCACCCCUAAAUCCAACUGGGAGCCAGUGAGCAAGGGUGCCAAUUGCUGUCUUUUGUAAGGUCGGCCUCCUGGAGCAUAGAGUCAGGUAGAGGAGUGGGGAGAGUGGAUUUGGACGGGCAAAUGAAGACUGUCCGGCAGAGUCGUCCGUCAAUAUUGAAUCCAAGUUCCCACUCUGAAACUGCUUAUAGUCAAGUAGGGAAGAUGAGACUCCACCCAACGUCCACAGCACAGGAGUGAGUCUCAUACAACGGGUCCGAGCAGGACGAGACGCCACUUCAUAUCUGUCACAGCCUGCAGGGGUUCCCCAGCGUCUAGCAAAGCCCAGACUCUAAACCGGCAUUAAAGACUGUCUAUAAUGAGACUCAGGUCCUGUUGAAUCCUCUUCUCACCUGAGUCGUGACCAAACUGGAUGGCUCACUAUUGACCGUCACGUAAGUCGCAAGCACGGCAACUCCACGCUGUGGGUGAAGUGCUUCCUAUGGCCCAGCAGGCCCCGCCCCCUGCUGCCCUCCACCCUUUCCCAUCGCUCAGUGCACAGCCCACUGCUCCAUGAGUCCUGCCCAGCUCACUGCCACUCAGUUUAGCAUGGUUUUCCCUGUGUGUCUGCCGCAUGGUGCUUGCUUGUCUUGGUAGGGUGUGUUUCAUUCAACAAACAUUUUGUUCCACAGACACUUACUGAAUACCUAUUGAGUUCCUGGCACUGUGCAAAAAUGGGGCUACACAGGGAAUGAG
rnacentral:lncRNA from 1 species